rnacentral:tRNA from 1 species
GCACCUGUAGCUCAGCUGGAUAGAGUGUCGCCCUCCGAAGGCGAAGGUCACAGGUUCGACUCCUGUCAGGUGCGCCA